UACAGAGGUCCCGAGCGUUGUUCGGAUUCACUGGGCGUAAAGGGUGCGUAGGUGGUGAGGUAAGUCGGAUGUGAAAUCUCCGAGCUCAACUCGGAAAUGGCAUUGGAAACUACCUUGCUUGAGGGUUGGAGGGGGGGACUGGAAUACUUGGUGUAGCAGUGAAAUGCGUAGAUAUCAAGUGGAACACCAGUGGCGAAGGCGAGUCCCUGGACAACUCCUGACACUGAGGCACGAAAGCUAGGGGAGCAAACAGG
rnacentral:rRNA from 1 species